rnacentral:rRNA from 1 species
CCUACGGGUGGCAGCAGUGAGGAAUAUUGGUCAAUGGGCUUACGCCUGAACCAGCCAAGUCGCGUGAGGGAAGACUGCCCUAUGGGUUGUAAACCUCUUUUGUCAGGGAGCAAGUGGCGCUACGUGUAGCGUUAUCGAGAGUACCUGAAGAAAAAGCAGCGGCUAACUCCGUGCCAGCAGCCGCGGUAAUACGGAGGAUGCGAGCGUUAUCCGGAUUUAUGGGGUUUAAAGGGUGCGUAGGCGGAAUGCCAAGUCAGCGGUCAAAUCGCGGGGCUCAACCUCGCUCCGCCGUUGAAACUGGCGUUCUUGAGUGGGCGAGACGUAUGCGGAAUGCGUGGUGUAGCGG